rnacentral:lncRNA from 1 species
ACAGAAUUAUUUAUGAAAAUAUUUUAAAUUCAGUUAAUAAUAGUUCUAUUGAAAAUAUAUCUUUAUUAGCUUAUUCAUUUUUAAGGUGUACCAAUAAUAGUAACAUAUAUGAUAAUAUAAAUAAACAAAAUGAGACUUAUAAAAAUAAUAAUGAAACAGGCACACAAACUUGGAAAGGUAUAGAUACAAACGAAAUAGUACUCAAGAAGGAACCAAAAGAAUUAAAAUUUAAUUAUUCAUUUCAUUUAUUUAAUGACUUUUUAUUUGGUAAAAUAAAAUAUAAUAUAGGGAAAAUAACAAUUUAUCAUAUAUAUCUACUAUUUAAAGAAUUAUACAAAAACAAUUUAAAUAAUGAUAAAACAAAACAAUUAAAACUAGACUUAAUAAAAGAAAUAAAAAAAAAAAUUUAUUUUAUUCCAGUUUAUUUAUUAGCAUCUAUUUGUAAAAUAAUGACAGACCAUAGUAUAAAAAAUGAUAAUGAACUCAUUUCGUUAUUAACAAAUAUUAGUUUUAUCUAUUUGAAUGUUUAUAAACAUAUUAGUAUAUAUGACAAUGAAUAUCAAAUUAAUGACAAUUCGUCUUUAAUUGAGGAUUAUUAUAACACAGUUAGUAGUAGUACAAGUAAUGACAGCAGUGGUAACAGUAGUGGUAAAAGCAGUGGUAACGACACAAAAAGUGAUAUAACUUUUUUAUAUGGUGAAAAAAAAAAAGAAAUAAGACUUUUAUCAUCCAAAUACUUAAUACAUACAAAUAUAUUUAAAACCCAAUUUAACUAUUUAAAUAAAAAUUUUGAUAUAACAAAAGAUCAAAUUGAAAAUACUUUUAAUUUUUCAAAAAAUUAUUUUUUUAAUUAUUAUUUAAAAGAAAAACAGCUAAGUUAUUUUGUUUAUUUUUGUAAACUUUUGGAUGAUAAAAAAAAAAGUUAUGUAUAUUUUAACAAAAUAAAAGAAAUUAUACAAAACAAAAUAAUACAAAAAGAAAUCACAUUUACAGCAAAAAGUAUUUUAUAUAUAUUUAAAACGUUAAAUCAUUUUGAUAUAUUAAAAACAGAUAAUAAUUUUUUUAACUUACUUCUCAAACAGUUAUGUGAUCAAUUGUACCAUAUUAAAAUUGAGACAUUUUAUGAUAUAUUAACCUUAUUUUAUCAAAAUAAAAUAGCGCAUUAUUACUUUUUAAAAAAGGCCCGUUAUAUAAUCAACAUGAACAGGUACGAAUUGAAUAAAACCAGUUUGGAGGAUAUUAAAAAUAUGGUAACAUAUUUAUUUAAAACUUUAUAGAGAGACAUGUUCAUAAUUUAUAAAAAAAGCGGAAAAAUCAAACAGAAACAAUAAAGGGGUAAGUGAUAAAAACA